GGCCUCGAAGCUCAGCUGGCAGAGCAUGCGCGUACAAAGCGUAGGCGGUGUCCAUGCGUGGGUUUGAAUCCUACCGUGGCUU
rnacentral:tRNA from 1 species